rnacentral:lncRNA from 1 species
CAGCACUGGAACAGCCACUGUCUCAGGAAUGAGAAUCUCCCUUGCACCAGUGGCAGAAUUGCAGGUGAUCACAAGCCUUCAUUAUCUCUGAAAAUGGAAUUUUCUGAUCAUUGUGCUGGAGAUGACAGCUUGAAAAUCUAGCUCCUGAGGAUGACCUUUAAACUUGCUCUACUUUCAGCUGUGAGAGAGUUGAUUUUCUUCAUGGUGUCUGUAUGACAAUAUACUCAGUGACAGCACAUCAGCAAGAAGAAAAUCUGAACAGCUGGGAAUGUGAAUUAAAAUCUCAUGAUGACUUCAGCCCUGGAAUCGAUGCUUAUUGCUAUUCCUCACAAGCACUAUACAUUUAAGUUGGGCAUGCGACUACACAUGUACAUUUGCAUUUAUACCUGUUUGGAUAAGGUAGAUCAUCCAUGCAGCUUUCAAGCUAAUGGUUUUUUUCUUACGAUAAGCCAAUACUGUUUCCAACUAUGUCAGC